UAUUUAUUCUUUAAGGGAUAAGCUUUGAAGUUAAUAAUCUAUAAUUUGUUUUAUAAAAUAUAAUAGUAAGCUUUAAACCAGCUAUCUCUAAGAUUACGUUUUAGUUCAUUAUUUUUUAUUUUGAUUUUAUAAUUAUUUUAAGUUUUUUUAAGAUUAUUUAUUUAAUGUUAAAAUUUUUGUAAUAAUGAUAGAAUUAGUAUAUUUAUUUGUAUACAAUUUUUACCUUGUGAAUUUAUUAUAAUGAACUAGGCAAAAUUGAUUUCCGCCUGUUUAUCAAAAACAUGUCCUCUUGAAAAUACUUUGAGGUCUGGCCUGCUCACUGAGCAGAUUUUUAAAGAGCCGCGGUAUUUUGACCGUGCAAAGGUAGCAUAAUCAUUAGCCUCUUAAUUAGUGGCUGGAAUGAAUGGCUUGAUGAGAAAUCAACUGUCUCUUAAUAAAUUUUUGAAUUUAACUUUUGAGUCAAAAGGCUUAAAUUUUUCUUUAGGACGAGAAGACCCUAUAGAGCUUAACAUUUUAUUUUUAUAUAGUUUUUUGUUUGUCUUUCUAUAUUUAAUGAUGAUGUUUUGUUGGGGUGACAUGAAGAAUAAAUAAACUCUUCAUUAUUAUAUCAUUUAUUUAUGUUUGUUGUUUUGAUCCAUAAUUUAUGAUCAUAAGAUUAAGUUACCUUAGGGAUAACAGCGUAAUUGUUUUUGAGAGUUCAUAUCAACAAAGCAGAUUGCGACCUCGAUGUUGGAUUAAGAAAAAUUUUGGGUGCAGUAGCCCAAUAAUUAGGUCUGUUCGACCUUUAAAUUCUUACAUGAUCUGAGUUCAGACCGGCGUGAGCCAGGUCGGUUUCUAUCCUAAGAUUAUUAAUUCAUAUUAGUACGAAAGGACCAUAUGGUUGAAAUAUUUUUUAUUUUAUUGAUUAAUACUAAUUAAAUUA